UACGGAGGAUGCGAGCGUUAUCCGGAUUCAUUGGGUUUAAAGGGUGCGUAGGCGGGUUAAUAAGUCAGUGGUGAAAUUUUGCAGCUUAACUGUAAACGUGCCAUUGAUACUGUUAGUCUUGAGUGUGGUCAAGGUAGGCGGAAUGUGUAAUGUAGCGGUGAAAUGCUUAGAUAUUACACAGAACACCGAUUGCGAAGGCAGCUUACUGGGCCACCACUGACGCUGAGGCACGAAAGCGUGGGGAGCAAACAGG
rnacentral:rRNA from 1 species